UCACUUCCACAUGAUCCACGACAUCAACAAUUCACACCAACAAUUUUCAGCAGUCACACACAUUCACACGUACAAAAAAAAGCUCUUCUUUUUAAUUUAGUCAACAAAACCUUUACACUGUUACACUUUAACCUCUACACAAAAAAUCACAUUAACAUCAUUAGUCAACUUUCUCUUUUUCACGCAGAAGGCCACGUUUUGAUAAAAAAUAACAGCAUAGAAAAUUCCUCGAACAACACUCAUUCAACGAUCACCUCCAUAGCCAAUCUUCAAUCUCCUUCCCAAACUAGAUAUAAUCUUCAUCACUGUUAUUAUAAUAACCUGUCAUCCCAAAACCUGCAUUAG